UCUCAGCUUCUCACAAUGGUUUAUUCCACAUUAGUAGCAUUUCUAAACGUUUCACUAAGCUCCUCUUCCUCUCUUUGUUUUCUGGUCUGAGAAAUCAAAGAGGAAAAAGGUUACUGGUUCGAUCCUUUUCAACCUGAGAGGCUUCUUAUUUGAAAUGGGUCAGGUCCUAUCCAACCUCAUAAGCAUCGUAUUUGGAAGAAAACAGAGAGUAGAGGCAAGUGAUGAAGAGAAUGUAUACCAUGCACUUGAUGAUCACUGUGAAGAGGUUAAGCCAAUUCAUCCUACCUCUGGUUAUGGAAAGACCAGAGUUUCAGAAGAAGAUGAAGGAUCAGUAGUUAUUGUUAUAACUGAUGCUGAUCAAGUCAGAGAAUAUAUCGCACAGCCAUUUCCUCUUGUCUUUGAUGACCCAAACACCAGGGUAUCAGAAGAUGAAUGGGUAACUAUCAUUGUUGACAGUGGUGUUGAGGCUGUAGAAAAGGCUAAACCUGCAACUGAUGCUGAGGUCAGAGUAGAUGCAGAACCAUUUCCUGUUCUCUGUUGACCCGAAGACCAGGGUUUCAGAAUAUGAAAGAGCCAGAGAAGAUCUAGAGCCAUUUCUUCUGGUCUCUGUUGACCCAAAACCCAUUCAGAAGAUGAGAAGGUCAAAGAAGAUGUAGCAGACCCAUUUCCUCUUAUCUCUGGUGACCCAGAGAUCAUAGUUCCAAAAGGUGGUUCAGGAGCAAAGAGAAGGAAAAGAAGAGCCAAGCGAAAAGAAAGAAGAAUUAAGCAUUACUACAGUUCUCACAAGAUACUGCUGGUUGGGGAGGGAGAUUUCUCUUUCUCUGCAUGUUUGGCCAAGGUUUUUGGUUCUGCUAGUAACAUGGUAGCCACUUCUCUCAAUUCAAAAGUUACAAGACAAGUAGCCCUCUAAAUGGUAGCGCCUAUAAUGUAACAUUGGUGUUUCUUAGAGAAAAACUCCAGCAAUGCCAUAUCUAACGUCAAUGGUUUGAAGAGCAAAGGACGUAUGAUUCUUCAUGGGGUGGAUGCAACAAAUAUGUCAGGCCAUCAGCUUCUCAAGGGCAUGAAAUUUGAUCGGAUUGUCUUUAACUUCCCCUAUGCUGGUUUUUUUAAAAAGGAGUCGCGGGUGUCUCAAAUGAGUCGACACCAAAAGCUGGUCACCUUGUUCUUCAAGAAUGCUAAGAAGAUGCUUUCAAAAAAGGGAGAAAUCCAUAUCUCUCACAAGUCAAAUGCGUUCCAUUGUGAAUGGAAUUAAUAUAGUAUCUCUGGCCUCACUUAGUAGCCUCAAUUUUAUAAAAGACGUGAAAUUUAAUUUGAAUGAUUAUCCAGGUUACAAUACUAAAAGAGGGUUUGGAGGAGAUGAGAACUUUGAGUGCAACCCUAGUGAGACUUACAUGUUUGGACUGUGAUAGAGAUCAAUGGAUGAUGAAGAAGUCUCAUAUGAAUAUAUGGGAUUUUCAAGGAAGACAAACAUAGGUUUUAUAAGUAGAAGGCUACAUAAGUAUUGUUGAGCAGUGAUAUGCUUCUUAUGUUAAUAGAUACCAAAUCUUGUAGGUCCUCCCUAAACAUUCCAUUAGUUUGCACAGAUCUUAGUAUUAGUAAGGCUAAAAAUGUUUUCUUGGCAACAAAUAUUUCCGCAAUGAAUGUGGAAGAUAAUUAAUUUGGUUGUUCUAAUUAUUGGAUAGAAA